UACGUAGGGUGCGAGCGUUGUCCGGAAUUACUGGGCGUAAAGAGCUCGUAGGUGGUUUGUCGCGUUGUCCGUGAAAACUCACAACUCAAUUGUGGGCGUGCGGGCGAUACGGGCAGACUGGAGUACUGCAGGGGAGACUGGAAUUCCUGGUGUAGCGGUGGAAUGCGCAGAUAUCAGGAGGAACACCGGUGGCGAAGGCGGGUCUCUUGGCAGUAACUGACGCUGAGGAGCGAAAGCGUGGGGAGCGAACAGG
rnacentral:rRNA from 1 species